rnacentral:lncRNA from 1 species
ACCCUCUAUCACUAUAGUUUUCGAUCUCUUGUGGUCAAACUCAAAAUUAUCUUCACGUGUGUGCUUCAGCGACUCAACAUAAACUCCAGUAGCUCACAACAUACAUUUGAUGAUGAGGCCAAACCAAAGAUGCCCUGGGUUGGAUGUAAAUUAGAGCACCAAAAGAAACAGAACCAUCAAGCUGAGUAAGAAAGACUGAUCUCGCGCCAAAUACUAACAUGAGCAGUUACCUUAAACCAGGCUCCUGUCCUUUUUCCUUUUAACGUUGGAAACGUUUUAUCGCCUUUGCAUCAUCUUCUCUCUUACCUAUACAUAACGUAUUUCAGUAAUACUUACAGUAGAACAAAUAACAUGACGUACAACAUAUCAACAAGUCUCAAUACUUAAAAGAAAAAUAAACAUGGAACUGACAACCAAAUAAAAGUUAUCUCGAUAUUAAA